rnacentral:rRNA from 1 species
AGAGUUUGAUCCAUGGCUCAGGAUGAACGCUGGCGGCGUGCUUAACACAUGCAAGUCGAACGAAGCACCUCAAUCGAAGAUUGAACCAGCUUGCUGGGAAUUGAUUCACCCGAGGUGACUGAGUGGCGGACGGGUGAGUAACGCGUGGAGAACCUGCCCCGUACCGGGGGAUAACAGUUAGAAAUGACUGCUAAUACCGCAUAAGCGCACAGCAUCGCAUGAUGCAGUGUGAAAAACUCCGGUGGUACGGGAUGGCUCCGCGUUGGAUUAGCCAGUUGGCGGGGUAACGGCCCACCAAAGCGACGAUCCAUAGCCGGCCUGAGAGGGCGACCGGCCACAUUGGGACUGAGACACGGCCCAAACUCC